rnacentral:tRNA from 1 species
GCUUUGGUAGCUUAUAAAAAGAGCGUGGCGCUGAAGAUGCUAAGGAGGGAGCGGUUCCCCCAGGGCA